rnacentral:rRNA from 1 species
ACGGGGGGUGCAAGCGUUGUUCGGAAUUAUUGGGCGUAAAGAGCGUGUAGGCGGCUGAAUAAGUCAGAUGUGAAAUCCCUGGGCUUAACUCAGGAAGUGCAUUGGAAACUAUUCAGCUUGAGUAGGCGAGAGGAAAGUGGAAUUCCUGGUGUAGCGGUGAAAUUCUUAGAUAUCAGGAGGAACACCGGUGGCGAAGGCGACUUACUGGCCCUAUACUGACGCUGAAGCGCGAGAGCGUGGGUAGCAAACAG